UGGGGAAUAUUGGACAAUGGGCGCAAGCCUGAUCCAGCCAUACCGCGUGGGUGAAGAAGGCCUUCGGGUUGUAAAGCCCUUUUGUUGGGAAAGAAAAGCAUCCGGUUAAUACCCGGGUGUUCUGACGGUACCCAAAGAAUAAGCACCGGCUAACUUCGUGCCAGCAGCCGCGGUAAUACGAAGGGUGCAAGCGUUACUCGGAAUUACUGGGCGUAAAGCGUGCGUAGGUGGUGAUUUAAGUCCGUUGUGAAAGCCCUGGGCUCAACCUGGGAAUUGCAGUGGAUACUGGGUCACUAGAGUGUGGUAGAGGAUAGUGGAAUUUCCGGUGUAGCAGUGAAAUGCGUAGAGAUCGGAAGGAACAUCUGUGGCGAAGGCGACUAUCUGGGCCAACACUGACACUGAGGCACGAAAGCGUGGGGAGCAAACA
rnacentral:rRNA from 1 species